rnacentral:rRNA from 1 species
AGAGUUUAUCCUGGCUCAGAUUGAACGCUGGCGGCAUGCUUUACACAUGCAAGUCGAACGGCAGCGCGGGCAACCUGCGGCGAGUGCGAACGGGUAGUAUACAUCGGAACGUACCCAGAAGUGGGGGAUAACGUAGCGAAAGUUACGCUUAAUACCGCAUACGUUCUACGGAAGAAAGUGGGGGACCUUCGGGCCUCAUGCUUUUGGAGCGGCCGAUGUCUGAUUAGCUAGUUGGUGAGGUAAAGGCUCACCAAGGCGACGAUCAGUAGCUGGUCUGAGAGGACGACCAAGCCACACUGGGACUGAGACACGGCCCAGACUCCUACGGGAGGCAGCAGUGGGGAAUUUUGGACAAUGGGCGCAAGCCUGAUCCAGCAAUGCCGCGUGAGUGAAGAAGGCCUUCGGGUUGUAAAGCUCUUGUGUCAGGGAAGAAACGGUCUUGGAUAAUACCUGAGGCUAAUGACG